CGGGACGUAAAGAACUUGCCUCACAGCUAGGGACAACAUUUAGAAAUGAAUGCUAAUACCUGAUAUUAUGAUUUUAAGGCAUCUUAGAAUUAUGAAAGCUAUAAGCACUGUGAGAGAGCUUUGCGUCCCAUUAGCUAGUUGGAGAGGUAACAGCUCACCAAGGCGAUGAUGGGUAGCCGGCCUGAGAGGGUGAACGGCCACAAGGGGACUGAGACACGGCCCUU
rnacentral:rRNA from 1 species